rnacentral:rRNA from 1 species
GCUGGCGACCGGCGCACGGGUGAGUAACACGUAUCCAGCCUACCCUUUACUCGGGGAUAGCCUUUCGAAAGAAAGAUUAAUACCCGAUAGCAUAAUGAUUCCGCAUGGUUUCAUUAUUAAAGGAUUCCGGUAAAGGAUGGGGAUGCGUUCCAUUAGGUUGUUGGUGAGGUAACGGCUCACCAAGCCUUCGAUGGAUAGGGGUUCUGAGAGGAAGGUCCCCCACAUUGGAACUGAGACACGGUCCAAACUCCUACGGGAGGCAGCAUG